CAACUUAUGAGGCACGUUUACUAAUUCGCGGAUCUCAAUCUACAGCCACAACGAAAAUAAGACUCCUCAUUGAUUUUUACUCAUAAGGUUUUAUUAUUAUUAUUUUUUAUGUAAAAAGACAAAUAACGGCUCAGCGAUGAAAAUGAAUCAUUGUUAAAAUCAUGAAAAUUUUAAUGGAUUCUUUUUUUCCAUACAAGUUACAUGCAUAUUCAAUUUACAACCGAUGUUGUAUAAUUGAUGGUAUAAUGGGCAUAAUGGGUAAUUAAUUGCUGUAAUUUGGAUUCGGUCCCAGUUCAAAUCCGGACCUUGAUCUGGUAUGUGUACAUGUGUGCCGGUCUGGUCCAAGAAAAGAUAAUCUUUUUGUAUAUUGGAACAUGUGCUGUAACAUGCAAUGCUGAAUUCCUAACGUGACUCUAUUGGUGCUCCUUUUGCAGCAAGAAAAACGACAGCAGAAAGAGGGAAAAAAAAAUAUUGUUUUGUUGAAAAAAAAAGGAGAAG
rnacentral:misc_RNA from 1 species